rnacentral:rRNA from 1 species
AACCCGGCUACAUGAAGCUGGAAUCGCUAGUAAUCGCAGAUCAGAAUGCUGUGGUGAAUACGUUCCCGGGUCUUGUACACACCGCCCGUCACACCAUGGGAGCCGGGAAUGCCCGAAGUCGGUGACCCAACCGUAAGGAGGGAGCCGCCGAAGGCAGGCCUGGUAACUGGGGUGAAGUCGUAACAAGGUAUC